AGGUCCCCCCAUCGGUAGCGUGCUAAUGACAACCAGCCUCCGCGAAGUAAUACCUAACAGUGAUCCCGCAGGGGAGAGGGGCAGAAGAAUUGUUUGGGGGGUAGUUUUUAGUAGUAAGCGCCAUAGAUGACGAAUCGUGCAUGCUGCUAGUAAGAACCAGCAGUGUAUUCUGAAGAUUUUCUACCUCCUGCUCGC
rfam:Glossina austeni unplaced genomic scaffold Scaffold397, whole genome shotgun sequence.